AGAGUUUGAUCCUGGCUCAGGACGAACGCUGGCGGCGUGCCUAAUACAUGCAAGUCGAACGAGAGCGACCGGUGCUUGCACUGGUCAAUCUAGUGGCGAACGGGUGAGUAACACGUGGGUAACCUGCCCAUCAGAGGGGGAUAACAUUCGGAAACGGAUGCUAAAACCGCAUAGGUCUUCGAACCGCAUGGUUUGAAGAGGAAAAGAGGCGCAAGCUUCUGCUGAUGGAUGGACCCGCGGUGCAUUAGCUAGUUGGUGAGGUAACGGCUCACCAAGGCCGUGAUGCAUAGCCGACCUGAGAGGGUGAUCGGCCACAUUGGGACUGAGACACGGCCCAAACUCCUACGGGAGGCAGCAGUAGGGAAUCUUCCGCAAUGGACGCAAGUCUGACGGAGCAACGCCGCGUGAGUGAAGAAGGUUUUCGGAUCGUAAAACUCUGUUGUUAGAGAAGAACAAGUGCUAGAGUAACUGUUAGCGCCUUGACGGUAUCUAACCAGAAAGCCACGGCUAACUACGUGCCAGCAGCCGCGGUAAUACGUAGGUGGCAAGCGUUGUCCGGAAUUAUUGGGCGUAAAGCGCGCGCAGGCGGAUUGGUCAGUCUGUCUUAAAAGUUCGGGGCUUAACCCCGUGAUGGGAUGGAAACUGCCAAUCUAGAGUAUCGGAGAGGAAAGUGGAAUUCCUAGUGUAGCGGUGAAAUGCGUAGAUAUUAGGAAGAACACCAGUGGCGAAGGCGACUUUCUGGACGAAAACUGACGCUGAGGCGCGAAAGCCAGGGGAGCGAACGGGAUUAGAUACCCCGGUAGUCCUGGCCGUAAACGAUGGGUACUAGGUGUAGGAGGUAUCGACCCCUUCUGUGCCGGAGUUAACGCAAUAAGUACCCCGCCUGGGGAGUACGACCGCAAGGUUGAAACUCAAAGGAAUUGACGGGGGCCCG
rnacentral:rRNA from 1 species